rnacentral:rRNA from 1 species
GUCGNNCGGCAGCGCGGGGCAACCUGGCGGCGAGUGGCGAACGGGUGAGUAAUAUAUCGGAACGUGCCCUGGAGUGGGGGAUAACGCAGCGAAAGUUGCGCUAAUACCGCAUACGAUCUAAGGAUGAAAGCGGGGGAUUCGCAAGAACCUCGUGCUCCUGGAGCGACCGAUAUCUGAUUAGCUAGUUGGUGGGGUAAAGGCCUACCAAGGCAUCGAUCAGUAGCUGGUCUGGGAGGACGACCAGCCACACUGGAACUGAGACACGGUCCAGACUCCUACGGGAGGCAGCAGUGGGGAAUUUUGGACAAUGGGCGAAAGCCUGAUCCAGCAAUGCCGCGUGAGUGAAGAAGGCCUUCGGGUUGUAAAGCUCUUUUGUCAGGGAAGAAACGGUGCGGGCUAAUAUCCGGCACUAAUGACGGUACCUGAAGAAUAAGCACCGGCUAACUACGUGCCAGCAGCCGCGGUAAUACGUAGGGUGCAAGCGUUAAUCGGAAUUACUGGGCGUAAAGCGUGCGCAGGCGGUUUUGUAAGUCUGUCGUGAAAUCCCCGGGCUCAACCUGGGAAUUGCGAUGGAGACUGCAAGGCUAGAAUCUGGCAGAGGGGGGUAGAAUUCCACGUGUAGCAGUGAAAUGCGUAGAGAUGUGGAGGAACACCGAUGGCGAAGGCAGCCCCCUGGGUCAAGAUUGACGCUCAUGCACGAAAGCGUGGGGAGCAAACAGGAUUAGAUACCCUGGUAGUCCACGCCCUAAACGAUGUCUACUAGUUGUCGGGUUUUAAUUAACUUGGUAACGCAGCUAACGCGUGAAGUAGACCGCCUGGGGAGUACGGUCGCAAGAUUAAAACUCAAAGGAAUUGACGGGGACCCGCACAAGCGGUGGAUGAUGUGGAUUAAUUCGAUGCAACGCGAAAAACCUUACCUACCCNNGAC